CGGGCUGCCCACGGCGCUUGCUUCCGUCGCCAUGUCACCGCCGAGAUGCAUCAACACAUUAUUUGCAAACAAAUUGUUUCUACUCUUGCUCAGUGCAUGAUUUAAUUACAAGGAAUGAUCUGGACUUGUUUAAUAAAUUUACCAAUUAUCUACUGCCAGUUUCAUUACCCGAACUGCACUUGUUUGAAUUACUGGAAUUUUCUCAAUGAACUGGACUAGGUUGCAUUACUGGAACUGAACUGGCUUGAUCAAUUAGCUAAUUGCCGAAAUAUAGAGUGCAUCUACACAAAGAUAAAUUGUUGCUGCAUGUCUAUUGUAAUUCUCAGUUAGUGUGCUUUAUCUGUCAAUGCUGUAAAUUAUUUCUUCAAAGUACCAGAAGUGUGUUCACUAUACUGUUUAGUUUCUUCUUUAAAUGCUCACAUUACAUGCUGCUGUAGUUUCUUCAUCUUUUUACUACUAAUGAAAAGCUCUGUUUCUAUGAUGCAAUGUUGUAAUUAAAUCAAUCCUGCAUCCUCCAGUUAAAAAUUAAUGCAGCAAGGAAUUUCAGUUGUAUCACUAAACUUGGUUAAUAGAGAUUCUUGAUAAAUGUCACACUUCAUCAAUGACGCCUUACGCUGAGCACAAUUUCGAGUUUAUUACCCUUCACUAUUAUCAGGAACUUUAGCAUAUGACAGUCCCAGGUUCAGAGUUGCAGUUUGACAAUUUUGUUUUCUUUGCAGAGGAGAAGAACUGAUGCUGAUCAAGGGCAGAGGAGAUGUGCUGCUGAUGGCAGGUGAGGUGCUAUUGCAGAUCUCGAGGGAGAUUUCCUCUCCAUCCUUGCUUCGGGUUUCGCCAUGGCCCGCAACGGCAGCCUGGAGCGCCUCCAGAAUGAGUAGUACUACGUGGUCUACAAGGAGCUACCGGUGCUGAUUGUGGAUCGCCCGCUUGCCCAGCAACAUGUUUGAGUGGUGUAGUAGUAGGUUGUCCUUAUGUUAUAUGCAAAUAACGGGACUGCACUUUUGUCUCUUGGCUGCAAUGGUGUGGAAAUGACAGAGUGACAGAAAUCCCAGUGGCAAGGUAGACUGAAGACUUUUACUCAUUUGGACUUCAGUUGCAAUCCUUUAUUACGUACCUUCUGAAUCAUCUCUACUAUCUCGUCAAUCUGCUCCAGUUUCUGCAAGUUGGGAUGCAGGAGCCGCUGGUCCUGAUUGUGGCUCGACCACUUGCCUAGCGACACGUUGCAGUGGCGUAGUUGUGCUAUUCCUGGGAGCUGUCACAGGCUGCUUGAUCAUCCUAGCCACGGAUAGCUGUGUCGACUCCAUGUGUUUGGGUGAUUCUUGAAAACUAUUUGGCUUCAAGAAUACCAAUCAAGCGGAACUAUUCAAAUGGCCUCUCUUUUUUCGCCGAGGUUUAGUGGCAAUGCAGACUGGAUUAUGAAGUUACUAGAUCGUUGGUGAUCGAUCGUUGAAUCACAGUUCCUCACCAGAAUAUUGUAUCAGUUAAUCAAACCAUAUAGAAUUUUCAGGAGUUAAGGUGGUGAUACCUGGUGGGAGUGUUUUGGUCGAAGACUCCGAGUAGAAAUGGGCUCUAAUCUUUUGAUCACAGGUAAUUCUCUCUUACCAAAUAAUCGCCACUUAACUUGUGCAGUGCUUACUGUAAUAAUUAGAACAGCAGCAAGGUAGCACUUGAUGACGAGACUAUGUAUCUUGAUGUGCUGUUUUCUUUUGCAUCACCCUUUUGUUUGACAGUGCCAUCACUUGCUGUCAACUUGUUUAUUUUUUUUAAAUCCUGAAAAUUGUAUGCACAUGUAUGUCACUAUGUGUCUUCUUGGUAGUUCAAGUAUAUCUUGGUGUUUAUUUUCCUGAUAACUUGAAAACUAUGGUGCAGUUGUAAUUGCAUAUACAUAGGUGACUGCCAUUUCGAGGAAACAAAGGUGCUACCAUGUUGGUAGAUAGAUGCAUGUCUGUUGUCAUGCGUGUCUAGUCCAAGUCUUCCUCUUAAAUCUAUUUAUUUCUUUGCUAAAUAUGCUUUAUUAAAGUUCCGCUGAUGUUUUGUUCCUGAUGGAGGAGAAAUAACAAGGCAUCAGCUGGAGUGUUGAGGCUGAUGCAUCACUCGACAAGGAAGAACAGGGGGCAAGGAGACGUCGCCAUCAGGCAGCACCUAGCCUCCUUGAAUAUUAUAUUUGUGAUGUAUGUAGUUGCAAAGGAUGUGUUUUGCUGUAAUAUUCGCCGUACCAUGUUGCAUGAGUUGUGCUGUAUGGGUCUUUAGCUUUGUUUUAUUUGCUUUGUGAUGUGAAUGUCCCUAAAAGAUGCUGAUAUAUAUUUGCUUUUAUUGUUGAUUGUUCGAUAUGUGACCUGAAUGCUUGAGAAAUAAAAUAGGUCUUGGCAAAUUUUCGAUUU